rnacentral:rRNA from 1 species
AAAGCGUGCGGACCAUUGGAUGUCCGUUCGGUUCUGAGACCGGCUGAUAGGAAAACCCGUCAGCGUAAAGUCAGGGAAUCGACAAGGGGAACCUUCGGGGGAACCGAUGACGUAGCGCGAUGCUUUCAAGAAACAACCUCUAGCUGUCGAUAGCAACCGUACCAAAACCGACACAGGUGGGUAAGAAGAAAAUUCUAAGGCGCGCGAGAGAACUCACGUUAAGGAACUCUGCAAACUAGCCUCGUAACUUCGGGAGAAGAGGCACCACAAAGGGUGAUGGAGAACAUUUAGAGCCCUUUGAGGUCGCAGUGAAAUGGCCCAGGCGACUGUUUAACAAAAACACAGCACUCUGCUAAUUCGUCUAAGAAGACGUAUAGGGUGUGAUACCUGCCCAAUGCCGAAAGGUCAAAAGGAGGCGUCAGUCCGCAAGGACAAAGCGCUGAAUUUAAGCCCCGGUGAAUGGCGGCCGUAACAAUAACGGUCCUAAGGUAGCGAAAUUCCUUGUCGGGUAAGUUCCGACCUGCACGAAUGGUGUAACGAUCUGGGCGCUGCCUCAACGAGAGACUCGGUGAAAUUGUAGUAGCAGUGGAGAUGCUGUUUACCCGCAAUAAGACGGAAAGACCCCGUGAACCUUUACUGUACUCUGAUAUGGGCUCUUGACUUGUUAUGUGUAGGAUAGCCAGGAGGCUUAGAAGUUGCGUCGUUAGGCGUGAUGGAGCCAAUAGUGAAAUACUGGUCUUAACAAGUUGAGAAUCUAACAGCACUCCAUGAAGCUGGAGGCUGGACAGUGUCAGACGGGCAGUUUUACUGGGGCGGUAUCCUCCCAAAGAGUAACGGAGGAGUCCAAAGCUUGCCUCAUCGUGGUUGGUAAUCACGAAUCGAGCGUAAAAGUAUAAGGCAGGUUGACUGCAAGACCAACAAGUCGAGCAGGUACGAAAGUAGGGUUUAGUGAUCCGGCGGUGGAAAGUGGAAUCGCCGUCGCUCAACGGAUAAAAGGUACUCCGGGGAUAACAGGCUUAUCACCACCAAGAGUUCAUAUCGACGUGGCGGUUUGGCACCUCGAUGUCGACUCAUCGCAUCCUGGGGCUGGAGAAGGUCCCAAGGGUUUGGCUGUUCGCCAAUUAAAGCGGUACGCGAGUUGGGUUCAAAACGUCGUGAGACAGUUUGGUCCCUAUCUGUUGCGGGCGUAGGAAUUUUGAGAGGAGUUGCUUCUAGUACGAGAGGACCGAAGUGAACGAACCAAUGGUGUGCCGGUUGUAGCGCCAGCUGCAUAGCCGGGUAGCUAUGUUCGGAAAGGAUAAGCGUUGAAAGCAUCUAAACGCCAAGCCUCCCUCAAGAUAAAAAUUCCCAAUGAGACCCCAAGAAGAUUACUUGGUUGAUAGGUUGGGUGUGUAAGUGCAGUAAUGCAUUAAGCUAACCAAUACUAAUCGGUCCAAUGACUAGA